AGCGGCGGAUGGGUGAGUAACACGUGGGGAACCUGCCCCUAAGUCUGGGAUACCAUUUGGAAACAGGUGCUAAUACCGGAUAAUAAAGCAGAUCGCAUGAUCAGCUUUUGAAAGGCGGCGUAAGCUGUCGCUAAGGGAUGGCCCCGAGGUGCAUUAGCUAGUUGGUAAGGUAACGGCUUACCAAGGCGACGAUGCAUAGCCGAGUUGAGAGACUGAUCAGCCACAUUGGGACUGAGACACGGCCCAAACUCUUACGGGAGGCAGCAGUAGGGAAUCUUCCACAAUGGACGCAAGUCUGAUGGAGCAACGCCGCGUGAGUGAAGAAGGUUUUCGGAUCGUAAAGCUCUGUUGUUGGUGAAGAAGGAUAGAGGUAGUAACUGGCCUUUAUUUGACGGUAAUCAACCAGAAAGUCACGGCUAACUACGUGCCAGCAGCCGCGGUAAUACGUAGGUGGCAGGCGUUGUCCGGAUUUAUUGGGCGUAAAGCGAGCGCAGGCGGAAAAAUAAGUCUAAUGUGAAAGCCCUCGGCUUAACCGAGGAACUGCAUCGGAAACUGUUUUUCUUGAGUGCAGAAGAGGAGAGUGGAACUCCAUGUGUAGCGGUGGAAUGCGUAGAUAUAUGGAAGAACACCAGUGGCGAAAGGCGGCUCUCUGGUCUGCAACUGACGCUGAGGCUCGAAAGCAUGGGUAGCGAACAGGAUUAGAUACCCUGGUAGUCCAUGCCGUAAACGAUGAGUGCUAAGUGU
rnacentral:rRNA from 1 species